UUUAACUCCGGUAUACAUACCCAAUCUUUUUAUUAGUAUUAUUAUGAUUAUUUUGAAUUAUUUAAUUCCGUUACGCACACCCAAUCUUUAAGGUGGGAGGAAAUCAGUCUUUGUUUCAGCCGUAAAAGCAGUCAGACUCUGAAUACUUAAAGUUUCAAAAUAAAGAUUAAAAAUAAAACUAUAUAAAUCGUUUAGACGCAUAAGCUUCCCCAUCCGGAAUCUGUAAAUAAAAAGCUCAGGGUUCUCGCUCAGCCCAGAAUCCUGCGAUGCAACCCCUCAGCUCUCCCUGUAAACAGCAAGCGUUACUGACCGCUUACCAGUUGCAGCUUACAACAUAAUAAGUCCAUACACUCUACAGGUCCCUGUCAGUUUGAGGGUCAUAAGUUCACUCGGUCAGUAAGCAGUUAAAAUAAUACUCAACCUGUUCGAAGCGCCGCGCGGGAGGAGACACAAGGGGGGGAGAUCUCGCUUUCUCUCAAUCAUCUGACCCCUCAACACAAAAACUGUCUCUUUCUCUACAACCCUCGCGCCGUCAUGCUUAGUAUUUAUAAAUAGGACACCCUGUCACAAAAAAAAAAUCGACAGGAUGUUGUAUUUCACGCCUUUACGUAUCCUAAAAAUCCCCAUCACGCGGACAAACACAAUGCCUGUAUUAUCAAUAAUGUAUAUAUAAGGCCCUCUUCCCACCUAACUGAAUGCAUGCACGGUGACUCCUACAAAACAUGUCACAAGCGUCUUCUGCUUCGGUCCUCACUAACGCUCACAUCCAUGCCGCGGGUCAGAACGCAGGCCCCAACCUACAACAUGGGAUACGCUUCUUUGGUAAGUUCUAAUGAAUAUAUUCUAACGAUUUUUAAGUUAUAUGUUGAAUAUACGGUGGGGGAAUCCUCUCUAUGACGCUACUGAUCAUGUGAUACCGUAGUAAUCUUCCUUGGGGAAUCCCCCCUUACGCUUUUCGGCGGUGUAACAAUAUAUGUUUAAUUAUUUUUCAGACCUCACAGGUGUGGAGCAAGAAAAUGUACUUUUAACACCGUUGAACUACGGGUUUUUAAAUGGGAACGUUCUAUAAGGUGAGGAAACACUGAGCUAGCAAUAUAUUCCUUGUAAUGGAUAGCUUAUGAAAAAUAAGUGGUUUGCGUGUUCUUUCUGUGGGGUUCCUUGUUUGGUUCCUCAGAAGAACUUGAAGUAAAGCACACCUCCCUCAGUCCGGGUAAAGUUACAGAAAUCUGCUUUUUCUUUCGCCCAACGGCAGCAAAAACGUUUUUGCAAAAUUAGGGUUGGUUUGCUUUUCUACAUUGAAACGUUUUACAACACUGUGUGUUUUAAAAGGGCAUUUCUACCACAAAAUCCAAGAAUCGAACCCUUCCCAUGAAUACUGCCUCCUCUACAACCCAAUUGACGUAAGCGGUCUAACCCAGACAGAAGGCUACAAAGAGAUUUGCAAUAAGGAAAACUGUCUCUCUUCAGCACACUGUGACAAAGACAUUUAUGUGUGAAAUGUUUAUCUCCCCUUUAUUAUAACUUUUUUG